CAUCAGGAGAGUAUCUAACUGAUUAGUAAUAUCUGUCAUGGAUGUAGGCAUGGGGAGGGGAGGUAUGUGCAUGAUUGAUUAGUGAUGUCUGUCAUGAAUGUAGGCAUGAGAAGGGGUGACCUGUUGUCUGAUUAGUGAUGUCUGUCACAGAUGUAAGAAUGGGGAGGGGAGACAUGUACCUGAUUGAUUAGCGAUGUCUGUCAUGGUUGCAGGCAUGGGAAGGAGAGGCAGGGGCAACCUGGUGUUUCCUCCCUAGGCUUGGCUGCAUAGUAAAUAGUCAAUGGAAACUGUAUUUUUAUCGCUGGUUAUUUAAGUCACUGUAAAGUCAAAGUAAGAAAUAUAUCUUUGUUUGAGGGAGGCUAGAAAUAAGUGAAGAAAGAAAAGUGGCUGAUUUCUUUUAAAUUGGUGGUUCCUAGUGCUCAAAUGACUGUGCUGUUGAGGGGCUUCAACAUGUUUUGACAGCACGUGAUUGGAAGCCACAUGAUUGGCUACAAUUAUCUCCAUUGCUGAUGCUUGUUCUUGCUGUGCAGAUUGGAAUAAAUGCAGAUGCUGCAAAUUGAUGGUGGCCUGGUGUCUUCCAGAGUUGAGAUAAAGGCUGGCUGAGGAAUCAGUGAGGCCAGGAAGAGGGCUCAGCUGAUCAACUGAUCAAAGUGAGCUUCUUCUGUCAACAAUUGAUUUAUGGGGAAGAGAGUUAAGAUUAAGAGGAAAAAGUGAAAAAUGCCUAUAGAUAGUGAAUCUGAAUUGGUUUUGUCUGCAUUCCAGGCAUCCCUCCCCAGGAAGGAGCUUCCUGUGUUUUCUCUGGGGACUCACCUGUUUUCCACUCCAGUAUUUUCCAGGAGUCAAGAAAUAUCUACACGUCCACUGAGAUAAAAUAUUUUAGUAAAGCAGCUCUGUCUAAUCAUUCAGUCAAACAUGAGCCUCAAUGCUAAGAUCAUCAUCAAUUUUUGGAAAGACUAUUUUGGACUAUAUGAAAUUUUAAGAAGUACCUAACCUGGAGACGUCAUCAAGUCCAGUGAUUCUUGAACCAGCUGCCUAUUGGAGUCAUCUGGCAAUGAGAGUGGUUACCAUCUAACCAACUGCCAUAUACAUUCACUGUAAGCCUACUAUGUAGCAUGGACUAAGAAAUUUAUUUUAUAAAUUAACAGAGGAGUUUCUCAUUGCAUAAACCCAGAAGUUCACUGUGUUCUGAGCUCUGAAUAUAACCUCUCCUCCUUUUUCUUACUUAUCACGCAUCAUUCCACAGACCCAUCCUAAAAACUGCAAUUGACUUUCUUUGCGAAAGCUGGGGGAAACCCCAUCACUAUAAAAUACCAUAUUUUCUGUUUUUUUCCUAAUUGAGUAUCUCUCACCUCCUUACAGUAAGCCUAUUCAUUAUGCCUUUUAAUAAAGACCAAGAAAGAGAAUAAUAACUUUUUAAAUUGACUUUUUCAAUUGCCAUUUGGCAUGCAUGUUUUGAUGCUGUUGUUUUGAGGAUAAGAAAAAGUUGAUAGUGGAAAUAUAUUAUUGAUUCCUGCCUGUUCUUCAGGCUCAUGCACUAUUGAUUAAAGCCCUUCACAGCCUCAACCUUUGCUCCUGCAUCCCAAGAGAGCAAAUUUGUAGAGCUCCCAAGAACUAGAACUCUGGCAUGGAGAUUUUGAUAUUUGGUGAGCCAGGAAGACUGGAGAAGAUUAGAAAGUUCUUAUCAGUAAAUAUGAGAGGCCUCAGUUGGGAGAUG
rnacentral:lncRNA from 1 species